rnacentral:rRNA from 1 species
UACGGAGGGUGCAAGCGUUGUUCGGAAUUACUGGGCGUGAAGAGCGUGUAGGCGGCUGACCAAGUCCGGUGUGAAAGCCCGAGGCUUACCCCCGGAAGUGCGCUGGAAACUGGUCGACUAGAGUAUGGGAGAGGGAAGUGGAAUUCCUGGUGUAGCGGUGAAAUGCGUAGAUAUCAGGAGGAACACCGGCGGCGAAGGCGGCUUCCUGGACCAAUACUGACGCUGAGACGCCAAAGCGUGGGGAGCAAACAGG